CCUACGGGAGGCAGCAGUGGGGAAUAUUGGACAAUGGGGGCAACCCUGAUCCAGCCAUGCCGCGUGUGUGAAGAAGGCCCUCGGGUUGUAAAGCACUUUCAGUGAGGAAGAACGCCUGGUGGUUAAUACCCAUCAGGAAAGACAUCACUCACAGAAGAAGCACCGGCUAACCCGUGCCAGCAGCCGCGGUAAUACGGAGGGUGCGAGCGUUAAUCGGAAUUACUGGGCGUAAAGCGCGCGUAGGUGGCUUGAUAAGCCGGUUGUGAAAGCCCCGGGCUCAACCUGGGAACGGCAUCCGGAACUGUCAAGGUAGCGUGCAGGAGAGGAAGGUAGACUGCCCGGUGUAGCGGUGAAAUGCGUAGAGCUCGGGAGGGAGGCCAGUGGCGAAGGCGGUCUUUUAGACUGUCACUGACCGAGAGGUGCGAAAGCGUGGGUAGCGAACAGGAUUAGAUACCCUGGUAGUC
rnacentral:rRNA from 1 species